AGGGCGGCACCUUGACGGUACCUAACCAGAAAGCCACGGCUAACUACGUGCCAGCAGCCGCGGUAAUACGUAGGUGGCAAGCGUUGUCCGGAAUUAUUGGGCGUAAAGGGCUCGCAGGCGGUUUCUUAAGUCUGAUGUGAAAGCCCCCGGCUCAACCGGGGAGGGUCAUUGGAAACUGGGGAACUUGAGUGCAGAAGAGGAGAGUGGAAUUCCACGUGUAGCGGUGAAAUGCGUAGAGAUGUGGAGGAACACCAGUGGCGAAGGCGACUCUCUGGUCUGUAACUGACGCUGAGGAGCGAAAGCGUGGGGAGCGAACAGGAUUAGAUACCCUGGUAGUCCACGCCGUAAACGAUGAGUGCUAAGUGUUAGGGGGUUUCCGCCCCUUAGUGCUGCAGCUAACGCAUUAAGCACUCCGCCUGGGGAGUACGGUCGCAAGACUGAAACUCAAAGGAAUUGACGGGGGCCCGCACAAGCGGUGGAGCAUGUGGUUUAAUUCGAAGCAACGCGAAGAACCUUACCA
rnacentral:rRNA from 2 species